rnacentral:rRNA from 1 species
CCUACGCGAGGCAGCAGUGAGGAAUAUUGGUCAAUGGGCGCGAGCCUGAACCAGCCAAGUCGCGUGAGGGAUGACGGCCCUACGGGUUGUAAACCUCUUUUGUCAGGGAGCAACGCCGGCUACGUGUAGCCGGACUGAGAGUACCUAAAGAAAAAGCAUCGGCUAACUCCGUGCCAGCAGCCGCUGUAAUACGGAGGAUGCGAGCGUUAUCCGGCUUUAUUGGGUUUAAAGGUUGCGUAGGCGGAAUGCCAAGUCAGCGGUAAAAUCGCGGGGCUCAACCUCGCUCCGCCGUUGAAACUGGCGUUCUUGAGUGGGCGAGAAGUAUGCGGAAUGCGUGGUGUAGCGGUGAAAUGCAUAGAUAUCACGCAGAACUCCGAUUGCGAAGGCAGCAUACCGGCGCCCAACUGACGCUGAAGCACGAAAGCGUGGGUAUCGAACAGGAUUAGAUACCCGGGUAGUC